GAUCCUGCACCGGGAGAGGGCGAAUAAGGUUUUUGGAAAGCGCUCUGCGCGACUGCUCGAUCGCUUCCAUUCGUCUUCGCUGCAUCAACAACACGGCGCGUCUUCUUCUUCGUCGGGCGUGCGCCGCGCGUCGUCGCCAGAAAUGAAAGAACAGGCUGGUCUGUCCCAUCGUCAUAAAAAAGGAAACCACUGGGAGCAGCCUCUACAGAUGAGGAGCCAAGUAGCAGCGCUUCCGCUUCAAGUGCAUGAAAAAGUCAAGUUGCUAGUGCAAGGUCUCUAAGAUGAAGGAAAUAUAUACUGGUGAUCACAGUUCCCAGAUGGCAUAUAUAUGUUUUGUGGCUUGCAGCACUUUGCAUAAAUGUAUUUGCAGUUCUGCUUGCCAUCAUGCUCUCUGGAUCUUUUUCUAAUGGCGUAAUGGAUAGUUAGUAGUCUCUCUUAGCUCUGAUGUGUUUAGAUUACUAGUUAGUGACUUAGUGUAAAGUGUCUCUUGGACUUGUCUCUUGGACUUUUAUGCAAUUUUGUCCGGUGAAA